GUGCUUUCUUCAGCAGCACAUAUACUAAAAUUGGAACGAUACAGAGAAGAUUGUCAUGGCCCCAGCGAAAGGAUGACAUGCAAAUUCAUGAAGCGUUCCAUAUUAAA